GGAGGGUGUGACUAGUGACAGAGUGAGGGAGGGAAGGGGUGACGAGUGAGGGAGGUGGUGAUUAGUGACAGAGGGAGGAAUGGGGUGACUAUCACUGUGUCACCCCCUUCCUCACUCUGUCACUAGUCACCCUCUUCCUCCCUCACUCGGUCACUAUUCACCCCCUCUCUCACUCUGUCACCAGUCAUUCCCUCACUCUGUCACCAGUCAUCCCUUCCUUCCCUCACUCUGCCACUAUUCAUCCCUUCCCUCAC